rnacentral:rRNA from 1 species
GAUGAACGCUGGCGGCGUGCCUAAUACAUGCAAGUCGAGCGAACAGACGAGGAGCUUGCUCCUUUGCCGUUAGCGGCGGACGGGUGAGUAACACGCAGGUAACCUACCUAUAAGACUGGGAUAACUUCGGGAAACCGGAGCUAAUACCGGAUAAUAUUUCGAACCGCAUGGUUCGAUAGUGAAAGAUGGCUUUGCUAUCACUUAUAGAUGGACCUGCGCCGUAUUAGCUAGUUGGUACGGUAACGGCUUACCAAGGCAACGAUACGUAGCCGACCUGAGAGGGUGAUCGGCCACACUGGAACUGAGACACGGUCCAGACUCCUACGGGAGGCAGCAGUAGGGAAUCUUCCGCAAUGGGCGAAAGCCUGACGGAGCAACGCCGCGUGAGUGAUGAAGGUCUUCGGAUCGUAAAACUCUGUUAUUAGGGAAGAACAAACGUGUAAGUAACUGUGCACGUCUUGACGGUACCUAAUCAGAAAGCCACGGCUAACUACGUG